UACGUAGGGUGCAAGCGUUGUCCGGAAUUAUUGGGCGUAAAGAGCUCGUAGGCGGUUUGUCGCGUCUGCUGUGAAAACUCGGGGCUUAACCCCGGGCCUGCAGUGGGUACGGGCAGACUAGAGUGCGGUAGGGGAGACUGGAAUUCCCAGUGUAGCGGUGAAAUGCGUAGAUAUUGGGAAGAACACCUGAGGCGAAGGCGGGUUGCUGGGCUGACACUGACGCUGAGGCGCGAAAGCCAGGGGAGCGAACGGG
rnacentral:rRNA from 1 species